rnacentral:lncRNA from 1 species
AAAUAAUAAUAAUCAUAGUAGUUGUCGAGGGUGCAACAAGCACGUCCGGUGAACAGGUCAGGGUUCCAUAGCCGCAGGCAGAACAGUUGAAACUGGAGCAGCAGCACGGCCAGGUGGACUGGGGACAGCAAGGAGUCAUCAUACCAGGUAGUCCUGAGGCAUGGUCCUAGGGCUCAGGUCCUCCGAGAGAAAGACAGAGAGAAUUAGAGAGAGCAUAUUUAAAUUCACACAGGACACCGGAUAAGACGAGAAAUACUCCAGAUGUAACAGACUGACCCUAGCCCCGCGACACAUAAACUACUGCAGCAUAAAUACUGGAGGCUGAGACAGGAGGGAUCAGAAGACACUGUGGCCCCAUCCGAUGAUACCCCCGGACAGGGCCAAACAGGCAGCCCCCACACCACUAGAGGGAUGUCUCCAACCACCAACUUACCGUCCUAAGACAAGGCCGAGUAUAGCCCACAACGAUCUCCGCCAUGGCACAACCCAAGGGGGGGCGCCAACCCAGACAGGAAGACCACGUCAGUGACUCAACCCACUCAAGUGACGCACCCCUCCCAUGGACGGCAUGGAAGAACACCAGUAAGCCAGUGACUCAGCCCCUGUAAAAGCCCCUUGCCUUAACAGGAAGCCAGUGUAGGGAGGCUAGCACUGGAGUAAUAUGAUCAAAUUUUUUGGUUCUAGUCAGGAUUCUAGCAGCCGUAUUUAGCACUAACUGAAGUUUGUUUAGUGCUUUAUCCGGGUAGCCGGAAAGUAGAGCAUUGCAGUAGUCCAGCCUAGAAGUAACAAAAGCAUGGAUUAAUUUUUCUGCGUCAUUUUUGGACAGAAAGUUUCUGAUUUUUGCAAUGUUACGUAGAUGGAAAAAAGCUGUCCUUGAAACAGUCUUGAUAUGUUCUUCAAAAGAGAGAUCAGGGUCCAGAGUAACGCCGAGGUCCUUCACAGUUUUAUUUGAGACGACUGUACAACCAUCCAGAUUGUCAGAUUCAACAGAAGAUCUCUUUGUUUCUUGGGACCUAGAACAAGCAUCUCUGUUUUGUCCGAGUUUAAAAGUAGAAAGUUUGCAGCCAUCCACUUCUUUAUGUCUGAAACACAGGCUUCUAGCGAGGGCAAUUUUGGGGCUUCACCAUGUUUCAUUGAAAUGUACAGCUGUGUGUCGUCCGCAUAGCAGUGAAAUUUAACAUUAUGUUUUCGAAUGACAUCCCCAAGAGGUAAAAUAUAUAGUGAAAACAAUAGUGGUCCUAAAACGGAACCUUGAGGAACACCGAAAUUUACAAUUGAUUUGUCAGAGGACAAACCAUUCACAGAGACAAACUGAUAUCUUUCCGACAGAUAAGAUCUAAAACAGGCCAGAACUUGUCCAUGUAGACCAAUUUGGGUUUCCAAUCUCUCCAAAAGAAUGUGGUGAUCGAUGGUAUCAAAAGCGGCACUAAGAUCUAGGAGCACGAGGAUCUUAGUGCCCAUUACGUGGUUGUAAUGCCCCUAAAAAUCUAUGCCUUUUGCGGCCAAAGUGGCUGUUGUGCCCUUGGGCUGAAUAUAAUAUAAUUACAUUCUCCCGGCUGCCGUGCUCCGAAGCACCUCUCACUCACAUGGCUAUCAGAUAUCUCAAUUCUUAUUCGCCAAUGCUCGUCAUGUGAUCGGGUCCUUCUCGCAGCUAAGAAGUAGGCUACAAGUGAAGACAUACACAUCCCUCUUAUCGAAUUCUGAGGUGCAUAUUGAAGAUGUUAGAAGAACUGUCCAGAUUUUGCCUAUUGUUAGUCAGCCAACAUGAUGAGUAGGCCUAACAAACAGCAAAAACACUAGCCUAUGUUAAUCUACUAUCCCCCAUAGUACAAAAGUUGACCUAUUCUAUUUGUCAACUUGUCCUGUGCAAUAAAUAAAUAUUCUUAACCUAAGCUGGGACAGUUGUGGGAUCCAAAUUAAUACAACCACUCGCAUAAAAAAAAAACUUUAAAAGCAAUGAGGCUGGUGCAACAGAUCAGAACAUUCAGCUUAAAAUGUUGAUAUACUAUUAGGCUAUUUCAUUAUGAAUGUUCCAAAAUGCAAUCAGUUAGCGGGAAAACACUGUUCUGACCGUAAAUGCGAUUAUACAUGUCAUGAAAAUGAUCUUCCCCAAACUUGAAACUCACGUGCUGCCUGUGCCGCAUGCCAGUUAGGCUCUACAUCGAUUGUAAAGCGGAUUAAUGAACUUAAUUUUAUUAAGUUAUUUGGCCACUGUAGUUGUGACACAAACCUUAUUAAAACAUAUCGGCCUAUGGGCUAGGCUACAUGAGGUGUGCGACUAUGAUUUGAAAAAAAAUCAACAAAAAAAGGCAUGCUGUUUCUUGCCUUGCUGGGCAUCAUUCACAAGUGAUAUUACAUCAUUCACAAGUGAUAGGCUAAUAUUGUCACCCAUGAGACUAUUCUUAAUUGUAUGUCGUCUAUUAUAGUAAAUAAUAUGUGUGAAAUUAGUUUUGAUUUAGAAUGGACUAUUAUCAUGCACCUGUCUUGGAACAGGUGUCACACCUGCUCCCGCUCAUUACCUGUCACCAUCGUUAUGCGCAUCAGAGCUCAUUGGGCUCAAUGCAACGACGUCGUCGAUGCACUUAUUGAUGAAGCUGGUGACUGAUGUGGUAUACUCCUCAAUGCCAUUGGAUGAAUCCCGGAACAUAUUCCAGUCUGUGCUAACAACACAGUCCUGUAGCGUAGCAUCGGCGCCAUCUGACCACUUCUGUAUUGACGGAGUCACUGGUACUUCCUGCUUUAGUUUUUGCUCGUAAGCAGGAAUCAGGAGGAUAGAAUUAUGGUCAGAUUUGCCAAAUGGAGGACGAGGAAGAGCUUUGUAUGCGUCUCUGUGUGUGGAGUAAACGUGGUCUAGAGUUUCUUUUACUGGUAGAAAUGAGGUAAAACGGAUUUAAGUUUGCCUGCAUUAAAGUCCCCGGCCACUAGGAGCGCCGCUUCUGGAUGAGCAUUUUGUUGUUGCUUAUGGCCUUAUACAGCUCAUUGAGUGCGGUCUUAGUGCCAGCAUCAGUUUGUGGUGGUAAAUAGACGGCUAAGAAUAAUAUACAUUUGAAGUUGGAAGUUUACAUACUCUUAGGUUGGAGUCAUUAAAACUCGUUUUUUCAACCACUCCACAAAUUUCUUGUUAACAAACUAUAGUUUUGGCAAGUCGGUUAGGACAUCUACUUUGUGCAUGACACAAGUAAUUUUUCCAACAAUUGUUUACAGACAGAUUAUUUCACUUAUCAUUCACUGUAUCACAAUUCCAGUGGGUCAGAAGUUUACAUACACUAAGUUGACUGUGCCUUUAAACAGCUUGGACAAUUCCAGAAAAUGAUGUCAUGGCUUUAGAAGCUUCUGAUAGGCUAAUUGACAUAAUUUGAGUCAAUUGGAGGUGUACCUGUGGAUUUAUUUCAAGGCCUACCUUCAAACUCAGUGCCUCUUUGCUUGACAUCAUGGGGAAAUCAAAAGAAAUCAGCUAAGACCUCAGAAAAAAAAUUGUAGACCUCCAUAAGUCUGGUUCAUUCUUGGGAGCAAUUUCCAAACGCCUGAAGGUACCACGUUCAUCUGUACAAAAAAUAGUACGCAAGUAUAAACACCAUGGGACCACACAGCCGUCAUACCGCUCAGGGAGGAGACCGGUUCUGUUUCCUAGAGAUGAUCGUACUUUGGUGUGAAAAUCAAUCCCAGAACAACAGCAAAGGACCUUGUGAAGAUGCUGGAGGAAACAGGUACAAAAGUAUCUAUAUCCACAGUAAAACGAGUCCUAUAUCGACAUAACCUGAAAGGCCGCUCAGCAAGGAAGAAGCCACUGCUCCAAAACCACCAUAUAAAAGGCCAGACUAUGGUUUGCAACUGCACAUGGGGACAAAGAUCGUACUUUUUGGAGAAAUGUCCUCUGGUCUGAUGAAACAAAAUAGAACUGUUUGGCCAUAAUGACCAUCGUUAUGUUUGGAGGAAAAAGGGGAGGGUUGCAAGCUGAAGAACACCAUCCCAACCGUGAAGCACGGGGUGGCAGCAUCAUGUUGUGGGGGUGCUUUGCUGCAGGAGGGACUGGUGCACUUCACAAAAUAGAUGGAUCAUGAGGUAGGAAAAUGAUGCGGAUAUAUUGAAGCAACAUCUCAAGACAUCAGUCAGGAAGUUAAAGCUUGGUCGCAAAUGGGUCUUCCAAAUGGACAAUGACCCCAAGCAUACAUCCAAAGUUGUGGCAAAAAUGGCUUAAGGACAACAAAGUCAAGGUAUUGGAGUGGCCAUCACAAAGCCCUGACCUCAAUCCCAUAGAAAAUGUGUGGGCAGAACUGAAAAAGUGUGUGCGAGCAAGGAGGCCUACAAACCUGACUCAGUUACACCAGCUCUGUCAGGAGGAAUGGGCCAAAAUUCACUCAACUUAUUGUGGGAAGCUUGUGGAAGGCUACUCGAAACAUUUUACCCAAGUUAAACAAUUUAAAGGCAAUGCUACCAAAUACUAAUUGAGUUUAUGUAAACUUCUCACCCACUCUGAAUGUGAUGAAAGAAAUAAAUGCUGAAAUAAUUCAUUCUCUCUACUAUUUUUCUGACAUUUCACAUUCUUAAAAUAAAGUGGUGAUCCUAACUGACCUAAGACAGGUGAAUUUUUACAAGGAUUAAAUGUCAGGAAUUGUGAAAAACAGAGUUUAAAUGUAUUUGGCUAAGGUGUAUGUAAACUUCUGACUUCAACUGUAGAUGUGAACUCUCAUGGUAAAUAGUAUAGUCUACAGCUUAUCAUGAGGUAUUCUUCUUUAAUAUUAGGCAUCGCACACCAGCAGUUACCAGACCUAGUUGCUCUGUCCUGCUGAAAAACAGAGAAGCCAGCCAGCUCUAUAUAAUCCGCGUCGUCGUUCCAAGUCUCCGUGAAACAUAAAGUAUUACAGUUUUUAAUGUCCCAUUGCUAGGAUAUUCUUAAUCUUAAAUCGUCCAGUUUGAUUUCCAAUGAUUGCACGUUGGCCAAUAAUACAGAGGGUAGUGGUGGUUUACUCAAUCGCCAGCAAAUUCUCACAAGGCACCCAGAACUCCGCCCCCUGUAGUUCCAUCUUUUAUUCAUGCAAAUGAUGGGGAUGAUGGCCUGGUCUCCGGGAAGCAGUAUAUCCUUCGCGUUGGAAUCAUUAAAGAAAAAAUCUUUGUCGAGGUGAGUAUUCGCUGUUCUGAUGUCCAGAAGCUAUUUUCGGUCAUAAGAGACGGUAGCAGCAACAUUAUGUACAAAAUGAGUUACAAAAUAUGCAAAAAAAUGAACUAAAUAGCUGGUUAGGAGCCAGUAAAACGGCAGCCAUACCCUCCGGCGCCAACAUGUUUUCAGAUGUGAGCAAAACCUUUAAACAGGUCAACAUUCACAAUGCUGUUGGGCCAGACGGAUUACCAGGACGUGUACUGAGAGCAUGUGCGGACCAACUAGCAAAUGUCUUCACUGAAAUAUUCAACCUCUCCCUGACCGAGUCUGUAAUACCUAUAUGUUUAAAGCAGACCACCGUAGUCCCUGUGCCCAAGAACGCCAAGGUAACCUGCCUAAAUGACUACCGCCCCGUAGUACUCUGAAAGUGCUUUGAAAGGCUGGUCAUGGCUCACAUCAGUCCCCUCCUCUUCACCCACGACUGCGUGGCCAAGCACGACUCCAACACCAUUAUUUCGUUUGCUGACGACACAACGGUGGUAGGCCUAAUCACAGACAACGAUGAGGCAAUCUAUAGGGAGGAGGUCAGUGACUGUUUAUUAGCCUUCCCUUUGGCUCAGUUGGUAGAGCAUGGUGUGUGCAACGCCAGGAUUAUGGGUUCGAUUCCCAUGGGAGGGCCUGUACAAAAAAAAUAUGAAAUGUAUGCAUUCACUACUGUAAGUCGCUCUGGAUAAGAGCGUCUGCUAAAUGACUAACAUAUAAAAAAUAUCUAUGCAUAGUCACUUUACCCCUACCUACAGUGCAUUCGGAAAGUAUUCAGACCUUUUUCCACAUUUUGAUAUGUUACAGACUUAUUCUAAAAUGGAUUCAAUAAAAAUAAGUCCUGAUCAAUCUACAUACAAUACCCCAUAAUGACAAAGCGAAAAACAGGUAAAAUAUAUAUUUUUAAAAUGUAUUUAUUUACAUAAGUAUUCAGACUCUUUGCUAUGAGACUCGAAAUUGAGCUCAGGUGCAUCCUGUUUCCAUUGAUCAUCCUUGAGAUGUUUCUACAACUUGAUGGAGUCCACCUGUGGCACAUUCAAUUGAUUGGACAUGAUUUGGAAAGGCACACACCUGUCUACAUAAGGUCCCACAGUUGACAGUGCAUGUUAGAGCAAAAACCAAGCCAUGAGGUCGAAGGAAUUGUCCGUAGAGCUCAGAGAUAGGAUUGUGUUGAGGCACAGAUCUGGGGAAGGGUACCAAAACAUUUCUGCAGCAUUGAAGGUCCCCAAGAACAUAGUGACCUCCAUCCUUCUUAAAUGGUUUGGAAUCACUGAGAGAAUGCCAAGAGUGUGCAAAUCUGUCAUAAAGGCAAAGGGUGGCUACUUUGAAGAAUCUCAUAUACACUGCUCAAAAAAAUAAAGGGAACACUAAAAUAACACAUCCUAGAUCUGAAUGAAAUAAAUAAUCUUAUUAAAUACUUUUUUCUUUACAUAGUUGAAUGUGCUGACAACAAAAUCACACAAAAAUAAUCAAUGGAAAUCCAAUUUAUCAACCCAUGGAGGUCUGGAUUUGGAGUCACACUCAAAAUUAAAGUGGAAAACCACACUAAAAGGCUGAUCCAACUUUGAUGUAAUGUCCUUAAAACAAGUCAAAAUGAGGCUCAGUAGUGUGUGUGGCCUCCACGUGCCUGUAUGACCUCCCUACAACACCUGGGCAUGCUCCUGAUGAGGUGGCGGAUGGUCUCCUGAGGGAUCUCCUCCCAGACCUGGACUAAAGCAUCCGCCAACUCCUGGACAGUCUGUGGUGCAACGUGGCGUUGGUGGAUGGAGUGAGACAUGAUGUCCCAGAUGUGCUCAAUUGGAUUCAGGUCUGGGGAACAGGCGGGCCAGUCCAUAGCAUCAAUGCCUUCCUCUUGCAGGAACUGCUGACACACUCCAGCCACAUGAGGUCUAGCAUUGUCUUGCAUUAGGAGGAACCCAGGGCCAACCGCACUAGCAUAUGGUCUCACAAGGGGUCUGAGGAUCUCAUCUCGGUACCUAAUGGCAGUCAGGCUACCUCUGGCGAGCACAUGGAGGGCUGUGCGGCCCCCCAAAGAAAUGCCACCCCACACCAUGACUGACCCACCGUCAAACCGGUCAUGCUGGAGGAUGUUGCAGGCAGCAGAACGUUCUCCACGGCGUCUCCAGACUCUGUCACGUCUGUCACAUGUGCUCAGUGUGAACCUGCUUUCAUCUGUGAAGAGCACAGGGCGCCAGUGGCGAAUUUGCC